UAGCUUAGUUGGUAAAGCACUUGUCUAGCGAAUAAGGGUCGUGAGUUCAAAUCGGUGCUCAC
rnacentral:tRNA from 1 species